rnacentral:rRNA from 1 species
GACGAACGCUGGCGGCGUGCUUAACACAUGCAAGUGGAGCGACGAACCAGGCUUCGGCCUGGGGCAGAGCCGCGAACGGGUGAGUAACACGUGGGUAACCUGCCCUGAUGAUUGGGACAACCCGAGGAAACUCGGGCUAAUACCAAAUGUGCCCUCCGGCCGUAAGGCCUCUGGGGAAAGGAAGCUUCGGCCUCCGCAUCGGGAUGGGCCCGCGGCCCAUUGGCUUGUUGGUGAGGUAACGGCNCACCAAGGCUACGAUGGGUAGCUGGUCUGAGAGGACGAUCAGCCACACUGGGACUGAGACACGGCCCAGACUCCUACGGGAGGCAGCAGUGGGGAAUCUUGCGCAAUGCGCGAAAGCGUGACGCAGCAACGCCGCGUGGGGAAGAAGGCCUCGGUGUAACCC